GGGCCCGCACAAGCGGUGGAGUAUGUGGUUUAAUUCGAUGCAACGCGAAGAACCUUACCAGGGUUUGACAUCCUGCGAAUCUCUUGGAAACAGGAGAGUUGCCUUCGGGAACGCAGUGACAGGUGGUGCAUGGCUGUCGUCAGCUCGUGUCGUGAGAUGUUGGGUUAAGUCCCGCAACGAGCGCAACCCACGUCUUUAGUUGCCAGCGGGUAAUGCCGGGGGACUCUAGAGAGACUGCCGGUGAUAAACCGGAGGAAGGUGUGGAUGACGUCAAGUCAUCAUGCCCCUUACAUCCUGGGCUACACACGUACUACAAUGCUACGGACAAAGGGCAGCAAGUUCGCGAGGAC
rnacentral:rRNA from 1 species